rnacentral:lncRNA from 1 species
UUAUUUCACACUUUUUUGUCCAGACUAUUUCUCGGAAUUGUAUGGACCAAUGAUGAUGGAACUUUACCAUAAUGUUAACCCCAAAGUGUAGAUGUGCAAUCGGGGGUUGGCACUUUCAAGAUGGCUACCGUUGUCAUGGAAACAGAAAGAAUGUGAAAAAUCGGAAAGUCUUCCAAACUGAUUGAAACUUUGUGGAAAUGUUACUUGGCAUGCGAAGACAUGCCAUCCGUCUUUGGAAUUUUAAAAUGGCCGCCGUUGCCAUAGAAACGGUACAAAUAUGAAAAUUUUCAAAAUGCUUUAAAAUCUCUGAAAAUUAGCA